CAGCCGCCGCGGGAAAACGGAGGGAGCUAGCGUUAUUCGGAAUUACUGGGCUUAAAGCGCGUGUAGGCGGGCCGGCACGUCGGUCGUUGAAAUCCCCCGGCUCAACCGGGGAAGUGGCGCCGAUACGACCGGCCUGGAGGAACGUAGGGGGAGCUGGAACUUCCGGUGGAGCGGUGAAAUGCGUUGAGAUCGGAAGGAACGCCCGUGGCGAAAGCGAGCUCCUGGACGUUUUCUGACGCUGAGACGCGAAAGCCAGGGGAGCGAACGGGAUUAGAUACCCCGGUAGUCCCUGUCUCUUAUU
rnacentral:rRNA from 1 species